AAAUACUCCCAGGGUAUCAUGGUACAGUGAAAGCAAGCUGAUGGGCUCCAUUAGCAUGAAUGAUAGCUUCCUUCUACACACAAGUCAAUUUGCAGCUCGGCAUGGAGCGGUUGAUGGUAUUGAUUGGAGU
rnacentral:lncRNA from 1 species